AAAACAGAUCUACUGUUCAUUCAUCUUUUGGCAGCUUUCAGGAUCUUAGGACGUGCAAAAUGGCUGCCAGAUGUGACUAGAUAGCGAUUCCGGCACUUGAAAGUGCCAUCGAUGACGGGGACCGGCCACACAAAUGUAGUGGCUACAACAGGACGGCAAAGCCUGGACGUUCUGUGGUGAAUGGUGCGUGGCAAGGAAUAUUUGUGCCACCAAAGUGUCAGGCCACCUACAACAUAAAGAGGAUGUCACCACCUGCUCUUGAUGCUCAAUGGGGUUGCUAUUUGCUGAGUCCUCAUGGAUCCUUGGCUUUAAUGGCAGCUCUGCUCCCCAUAUGUCACAUAUGGUACUCAUGGUUUAAUCGGCUCUCUUCUCAAAGGCUUUAUCCCCUCUCGAUUGGGAACCGAGACGAACGGUAUUUUCUUCCAAUGAUCCAUUGUGACGGCCAAAGCCAUCAUCGUUGUUCUCUAUCAUAAAUGUGCAGA